AUUGAACGCUGGCGGCAUGCCUUACACAUGCAAGUCGAACGGCAGCACGGGAGCAAUCCUGGUGGCGAGUGGCGAACGGGUGAGUAAUAUAUCGGAACGUGCCCAGUCGUGGGGAUAACGUAGCGAAAGCUACGCUAAUACCGCAUACGAUCUACGGAUGAAAGCGGGGGAUCGCAAGACCUCGCGCGAUUGGAGCGGCCGAUAUCAGAUUAGGUAGUUGGUGAGGUAAAGGCUCACCAAGCCGACGAUCUGUAGCUGGUCUGAGAGGACGACCAGCCACGCUGGGACUGAGACACGGCCCAGACUCCUACGGGAGGCAGCAGUGGGGAAUUUUGGACAAUGGCGCAAGCCUGAUCCAGCAAUGCCGCGUGCAGGAUGAAGGCCU
rnacentral:rRNA from 1 species